rnacentral:rRNA from 1 species
UGGGGAAUUUUGGACAAUGGGGGCAACCCUGAUCCAGCCAUGCCGCGUGAGUGAAGAAGGCCUUCGGGUUGUAAAGCUCUUUCGGCCGGAACGAAAUCGCAGAGACUAAUACUCAUCUGUGGAUGACGGUACCGGAAUAAGAAGCACCGGCUAACUACGUGCCAGCAGCCGCGGUAAUACGUAGGGUGCGAGCGUUAAUCGGAAUUACUGGGCGUAAAGCGUGCGCAGGCGGUUCGUUAAGACAGGUGUGAAAUCCCCGGGCUCAACCUGGGAAUGGCGCUUGUGACUGGCGGGCUUUAGAGUGCGGCAGAGGGGGGUGGAAUUCCACGUGUAGCAGUGAAAUGCGUAGAGAUGUGGAGGAACACCGAUGGCGAAGGCAGCCCCCUGGGCCGACACUGACGCUCAUGCACGAAAGCGUGGGGAGCAAACAG